rnacentral:tRNA from 1 species
GAGAGAGGCCUGUAGCAAUAGAGACUGCUAAUCUUUAUCACCACAGUUAAAAUCUAUAGCUCACUCG